CUCUGGGACCUAUGGCAAAACCCAAAUGAACCACCAACUGUAAUGGUCUAUUUUCUUGAGCUCAGAGCAACUAUGUGAACUCAGAAAGAAAUUAUAGGCUUUAAAUGAUCCUUAAUACCCUGCAUUUCAGUGUUACCUACAUACGCCACCUCAGAGGAUAGCAUUUCUGUAGUAGCCGUGGUAUGACACACUGCCAAGAUUAAUAGGCCUAUCCAGGGGAAGCUCCCAGGACAAUGACAAGAUACAAGGUCUCACUCUGUCAUCCAGGCUGGAGCGGUGCCAUCACAGCUCACUGCAGCCUGGACCUCCCAGACUCAAGUGAUCCUCCCACCACAGCCUCCCAAGUAGCCAGGACUACAGGUGAGUGCUCUGCUAAGCUCUGCAACAAGUUCCAAGCUAGUAGUGGCCAGCUACUCAGCUUUCUCAGGAAACUCACCUUCUCUCCUUGGAGUGAUGGGACUGAGUCCCGCAAACUGUGAAAGCUGUCUUUGAUGUGGUCCCUACGUUUUCGUUCCAGUGCAUUAUGAUGAGCCCGUUUGUCAGCCUAGAAGAAUGGGAGAAAGAACACAUUAGGAAUGUCACUCCUUUUGCUUGGUACA
rnacentral:lncRNA from 1 species